rnacentral:rRNA from 1 species
AUUGAACGCUGGCGGCAGGCUUAACACAUGCAAGUCGAGCGGAAACGGAGGUAGCUUGCUACCAGACGUCGAGCGGCGAACGGGUGAGUAACGCGUAGGAAUCUACCUAGUAGAGGGGGAUGGCCCGGGGAAACUCGGAUUAAUACCGCAUACGCCCUAAGGGGGAAAGCAGGGGAUCUUCGGACCUUGCGCUAUUAGAUGAGCCUGCGUCGGAUUAGCUAGUUGGUAGGGUAAAGGCCUACCAAGGCGACGAUCCGUAGCUGGUCUGAGAGGAUGAUCAGCCACACUGGAACUGAGACACGGUCCAGACUCCUACGGGAGGCAGCAGUGGGGAAUAUUGGACAAUGGGGGCAACCCUGAUCCAGCCAUGCCGCGUGUGUGAAGAAGGCCUGCGGGUUGUAAAGCACUUUUGUUCGGGAAGAAAUCAUGUCGGUUAAUACCCGAUGUGGAUGACGGUACCGAAAGAAUAAGCACCGGCUAACUUCGUGCCAGCAGCCGCGGU